CACAAACGGCCUGUCAUCGCCAAAGAUACAACAUUCAGUCAAAGAGCAAGAUGGUUCACCCUGCUCAUUUCAGUGUGAGUGGUAUGGGCACGGGCAAGAAGUACAAGGGUUUCACGCUGCCUUUCAAGCCUGGUGACGUGUCUCACCAACAUCAAAGGAGGUUGAAGGAUGGUGUGGUAUCUCUGUGUGCCUGUGCCUUCUACUGUAUAAAACAGCCCGGCUUUCAACCCCCCAAGAUACAGUCAGGGAGCAGCCGUGGAAAUUUAAUUUCAUAACUACAACGUUUCUACCUGGCAGAUGUUUGCCUGUGCACAUUUAUGCACGUACUGUGGGGCCGAUCCUGAAUCCUUGAUCUUCGACUACAUGAACAGGCAUGGAAACAGCCACAAACACACACACAUGCACACACACGCACACACACACACACACAGGCUCACACACCCACUCCCCAAACCUAAACAAUGAUCCAUCAUAUGAAUCCACAUCCUCCUCUGGGCCACAUCAGUCCCUUUGCUGUGGAAAAACUGAUCCCAGAAUCGGCUGCUAACUGUCAACUGCAGGACUCUGAGCCGCCCACUCACCACUAGAAAGAGACCACU